GAUGAUGCCCAGCUUGCUGGGUGGAUUAGUGGCGAACGGGUGAGUAACACGUGAGUAACCUGCCCCUGACUCUGGGAUAAGCGUUGGAAACGACGUCUAAUACUGGAUAUGAUCACCGGUCGCAUGGUCUGGUGGUGGAAAGAUUUUUUGGUUGGGGAUGGACUCGCGGCCUAUCAGCUUGUUGGUGAGGUAAUGGCUCACCAAGGCGACGACGGGUAGCCGGCCUGAGAGGGUGACCGGCCACACUGGGACUGAGACACGGCCCAGACUCCUACGGGAGGCAGCAGUGGGGAAUAUUGCACAAUGGGCGAAAGCCUGAUGCAGCAACGCCGCGUGAGGGAUGACGGCCUUCGGGUUGUAAACCUCUUUUAGUAGGGAAGAAGCGAAAGUGACGGUACCUGCAGAAAAAGCACCGGCUAACUACGUGCCAGCAGCCGCGGUAAUACGUAGGGUGCAAGCGUUGUCCGGAAUUAUUGGGCGUAAAGAGCUCGUAGGCGGUUUGUCGCGUCUGCUGUGAAAUCCCGAGGCUCAACCUCGGGCUUGCAGUGGGUACGGGCAGACUAGAGUGCGGUAGGGGAGAUUGGAAUUCCUGGUGUAGCGGUGGAAUGCGCAGAUAUCAGGAGGAACACCGAUGGCGAAGGCAGAUCUCUGGGCCGUAACUGACGCUGAGGAGCGAAAGCAUGGGGAGCGAACAGGAUUAGAUACCCUGGUAGUCCAUGCCGUAAACGUUGGGCGCUAGAUGUAGGGAC
rnacentral:rRNA from 1 species